rnacentral:lncRNA from 1 species
AUCGCCCCUCCCUUCUCUAUUCUCCUCUCUACCGAUCUUCUCCACCCCUCAAGCCAUAAAACCAUAAUCACCAUAGACUGCAACCAUGGUAGAUAUGACUACCAUACCUUCUAGAAAAUUUCCCUUUUUCUAAACGUCUAAUCUAUCAAAUCCGCAAAAAUCGGAAAGAACAGGUCCCAAUUUAGUGCAACAAUUCAAAAUAAUUUCAAAUUUGGGUUUUUGAAGUCCGAAAUCAUAGAAAUGGAGGUCUAAAGGCUGUGAAAUUUUGUUUUUGAAUGGGG